UUCGAGAAAGUAAAAACAUAAAAUGCUCCUGGUAAAACGAAGGAAAACGGCACGCACACCGUUGGCCGCCAUGGAAGCCGCACGCCUCUCCCAGCCCGUCGCCGGCGCCGCCUCACUCAUCCGCCGCUCUCGUCCCUCCCCAGACCAUCCCAAUCCCUCGGCGGCUCCAAGCCGUGGCGCUCGCUUCGUCGGAGCUCCCCAAGCAGCAGGUAUCGUGCUCCCUCCUCGCCCGCCGCCGCCGCUUCUUCGGCCGUUCACUCGUCCCCUCCCUGGACGCCCACCAGGGCAGAAUUCUUUGCGGAAAAUGAUCUGCGAUGCACUCCUAACUGACUGGGUUCACCUGGCAGUGUUAGCACAGCUGUGGGCACCAGAAAUAUGGCUGUUCUUGGUCAGCGAUGUCUGGUGUUUUGUUUUCUCCAUGUAUAUCACUCUCAUCCAGGCAUACUGCACUGCUUUUAACUUGUUGGCACCAUUUUUUUUAAGAGGGAUGGUAAAGCUCAAUUAAAAUCACAUGAAGAAAAGGAGUGGGAACCAUGGCGUCCGAACUCCGAACUACUAGGCAGUGGUUAAAUCAUGUGCUACCAACUCUUUUGGUUUUGUCAGGAAAAUAUUUGCACUUGGUGCUCUAGUUGUUUAUGGUACCGAGUACCAUAGCACAGCUGUUUUGCUGCGGGCUGGGAGCUUGAACUUGAUUUCAUCUUUGGACACAUGACCCAAUGGUUUCUAUGGCUGUUGCUGGAAGCAAGUGUGGGAUGGAUACUGGAUGGUCAGCCUUACACCUAUAAUACCUUCCUCAACUCUUUGGAUUUAUUUUCUCUUCUUUAUUUUACAUCUUUCUAUGUUUCUCCUUUUGCAAGGCCUAAAAUUCCAUUUUUAGUUACUUAUAGAAAAUUGUCUCCCUUUUAUUUUGGCUUCAGUUGCUGGAUAUAGCUUGCAUCUUGGUAACCAUGAGGUUGUGAGGAUGGCUUGGAAAAGAUUCCUUCACAAUGUUUGCCAAGGAGUACUAACAAUCUCAACAAUCUGCAAACUUCAGUCUUUAAUUAGGUUUUGAUAGAACCCAAACAAAGCGUCUAGAUAGAUCCUGUACGUAUUUCCAUAGAUUAAUGAACAAACAAGCAUACGCUGUGUCUUAAGCUAGUGCCAGCCUUUUGGCUAUAGAAUCCUCUACCAAAUAAGUAUCUAUUACUAAAUACAUAGUAGAUACGACAAGAAUUUAUGGAGCAUACGUCAUGAGGUUACCAACGGUAAGUUUGACCGAUUUUGUGGUGAACCUUGUAUAUUUGGCAGUCAAUUAGACAGGUAAGAAUCAGAGUACAUAGACAGAUGAUGUUCAUGAACUCUUCUACUAAAUAAAUGAGUAGAGUUAUUGAGUAGAUUUAAGACAAAUCUUUCUGGAUUCGCUGGUAUUAAUUGUGCACCUCCAUUCCGCCCUAUAAAAGGAGCAUCCAUCGCACCGGACCGGAGACACCCUUCAGUCUGGUCUCUAGUGUCUGCAAUGGACAACCUCAAUACCCAUUCUGAACAGGCCAAUCAACCUCAGGGACAACAAGCAAAUGGCCUUCCUUUGGAUAUACCAACAAGUGAGGUCUUAGAUACUCAUAUGAUUGAACCACAGAGCACAAAUCAGACGCCGCAAUGGUUCUCCCUUGAGCAGCACAGGCUGCAGUUGGGUCGGGUUCUCCAACUCUGCGUGACUUUUUGUGCACCAGUUUGGUUGAGUCUUGGAUAGAUGUUGUCUUACUUCUUCUGCUUUUGUUUUUUACUUUUUUCCUCAAUAAAUAGAAUGAGCAGGCUCAGGUGUCGCAGCAGCAGGAAAUGUCUUUACAGAACGCAAUUCUAUCAAACCUUCUGACAACCGAUGCGCUGCUCCGGAACGUUGAAGAGGUAGUUAGGAUGCGCUUAGAGUUGCAAAGGAUCCGAGAGAAUCAAGAAACUUCACGGCAUGCUUGGGAUCAAUUGCUGCAGCUUGUUGUUCUUGUAUAUGAAACGAAUGAGGCACUUGUCAGAAUGAUUGCUACGUUGCAGCAGGAAAUGAACUCACAUGUUUCAGGCCCUGGAGAUGAAGCAUCAAGUGUGGCAAGCAGAGUCAACCAGUACUGAUCGUACUUGUAUGGUUUGCAACUCUGGUGGUGCUUGUAUGAUGUUGCUGUCGUGCAAGCACCUCUGCACCUGCAAGCCAUGUGCACUCCAUCUCACGGCUUGCCCAAUCUGCGGUGCUGUGAAGGAUGAUGCGAUCGAGACCCAGUUCAUAUGAGAAGUGAAGAAACAAUAGCAGCGAUGGGAACCUAUUGUUUCUGAUGUGCCUAAUAAGAACAUGUGUGUUUUCUUUUUUUCAGUGCAAGUGUGUUGGAGCCUUGGUUUGUUAUCCUUCUUGUAUGCUGUUCUAUAGUAGUCUUCAUCGUAUCAAUGUCAUAUUUCUGUUUUCUCAAUA